rnacentral:tRNA from 1 species
GACAGGGUGGCCGAGUGGUUAUGGCGACAGGCUUAAGUUAAGGAUCGCACCUAUUGGUGCGAUCUGGAGUCCUGUUGUAGAGAUACAUCCUGGGUUCGAACCCCAGUCCUGUCA